AGUCGAGGGGUAGCAUGAUUGUAGCAAUACAAUUGAUGACGACCGGCAAACGGGUGCGGAACACGUACACAACCUUCCUACAAGUGGGGAAUAGCCCAGAGAAAUUUGGAUUAAUACCCCGUAACAUAGCGAUGUGGCAUCACAUUGCUAUUAUAGCUUCGGCGCUUGUUGAUGGGUGUGCGGCUGAUUAGAUAGUUGGCGGGGUAACGGCCCACCAAGUCUACGAUCAGUAGCUGAUGUGAGAGCAUGAUCAGCCACACGGGCACUGAGACACGGGCCCGACUCCUACGGGAGGCAGCAGUAAGGAAUAUUGGACAAUGGACGCAAGUCUGAUCCAGCCAUGCCGCGUGAAGGAUUAAGGUCCUCUGGAUUGUAAACUUCUUUUAUAAGGGACGAAAAAAGGUCUUUCUAGAUCGUCUGACGGUACCUUAUGAAUAAGCACCGGCUAACUCCGUGCCAGCAGCCGCGGUAAUACGGAGGGUGCAAGCGUUAUCCGGAUUCACUGGGUUUAAAGGGUGCGUAGGCGGGCAGGUAAGUCAGUGGUGAAAUCCUAGAGCUCAACUCUAGAACUGCCAUUGAUACUAUCUGUCUUGAAUAUUGUGGAGGUAAGCGGAAUAUGUCAUGUAGCGGUGAAAUGCUUAGAUAUGACAUAGAACACCUAUUGCGAANGCAGCUUACUACGCAUAUAUUGACGCUGANGCACGAAAGCGUGGGGAUCAAACAGGAUUAGAUACCCUGNNAGUCCACGCCCUAACGAUGGAUACUCGACAUACGCGAUACACUGUGUGUGUCUGANCGAAAGCAUUAAGUAUCCCACCUNNNAGUACGUCCGCAAGNAUGAAACUCAAAGGNAUUGGCGGGGGUCCGCACAAGCGGUNGA
rnacentral:rRNA from 1 species